CCUACGGGUGGCAGCAGUGGGGAAUAUUGGGCAAUGGGCGCAAGCCUGACCCAGCAACGCCGCGUGAAGGAAGAAGGCUUUCGGGUUGUAAACUUCUUUUCUCAGGGACGAAGCAAGUGACGGUACCGUAGGAAUCAGCCACGGCUAACUACGUGCCAGCAGCCGCGGUAAUACGUAGGCGGCACGCGUUAUCCGGAUCUACUGGGUGUAAAGGGCGUGUAGGCGGGACUGCAAGUCAGAUGUGAAAACCACGGGCUCAACCUGUGGCCUGCAUUUGAAACUGUAGUUCUUGAGUACUGGAGAGGCAGACGGAAUUCCUAGUGUAGCGGUGAAAUGCGUAGAUAUUAGGAGGAACACCAGUGGUGAAGGCGGUCUGCUGGACAGCAACUGACGCUGAGGCGCGAAAGCGUGGGGAGCAAACAGGAUUAGAUACCCCUGUAGUC
rnacentral:rRNA from 1 species